GGAAGCACGUGGAGAAGGCGGAGCCGCCCAGGUCCCCCCGGGCGUCGAUGAAUGUGGGGUACCAUUCCUUGAUGAUGUGGUCAUGUUUGUAGUCGGCCUUAUUGUCCUUUAGAUGUUCCACGGUGUUCCGCUCGCUCUUCUCAUAGGCCUCCCGGGGCUUCCGGACAGACACCUUGCAUUCUCGGACCUUGUUGACGAUGAAUUCUUGGAUGAGAAACCUGAUAUCUUCCAUGAGGCAGUCAUCAUAAAGAAGUCUGAAUAUCUUGGUUGAGAGCUAGACUUUGGAAACAGAGAGACCCUGUAUAAUAACAGACUAAGAAGUAAGGAAGACAAGCCCAGCCAGUCCCACAACUAUUUCAUUAAUACCAGGUAAAGCAACAGACCUGCCAGUGAAGCAUCUUGGAUCCUUUAGCUUUAGGAAAUCUACUCCAGUCCUGUCCUGUGGAAACUAAUGGGAGUGCCAGGAGGCCUAACCAUCUGAGGUGAAUUGAAAAGAAAAAGCAGCGUGCUGAUUGCAGUGACUGGUGCAUGGAUCUCGAUGGCUACUCUGUACUGUAGGCAGUGAUGACACCCUGUUGAGGAGAUUGGUAGGAGCCAUAGCAACACAGGAGGCACAAUUUUAGGGAUGGUUUACAUUCCUAGCUGGAGUUUCCACAAAGCCCAGGUGCUUGCAUAGAGCCUUACCCUUGCCUAUAAACAACUACAUGGUUUAGUGUCCCCGUAAAAUUUCCCUAGAAUGGGAAAUAAUGUCAGGGCAGCAAUACAGUUUGGGGCAGUAUUUAAGAUCUAGUGCUCAGCUUAACAUAAGUCAUCCUGAGACUGAGAAAAAAAUGACAGGCAAUAAUUUAGUUUCAGUACAGUAUUUUAGUUCCGAUAUUCACUAUAAGUCCUUCCCAGGAAUUGAAACAACAUUCAAGUGUUUAAAUUUAAUACUAAGACAUAACCCCUAACAUCACCAAAGAACAUCUGCAAAAACUGGAAGAGGUGGGUGUCUCCUCAAAUGUGCAGGCAUCAACAUAAGCACAUCAGAAUGGUGAAAACUCAGGUAGAUAUGAAAUUACCAAAAGGCAUCAAGGAGGCUCCAUCGAUGGAUCCAGAAUAAAUAAAGAUCUGUGAGAUGUCUGACAGAGCAUUCAGAAAAAUCUCUUCCUCUCUUUAUAUAAAUAAUGGCUGGGAAUUCAGCCAUUCCAAAUCUGGAGAACCCCUAAAGAAGUUUAGAAAAUCACAAAGAAAUAUGGAAAGUAAAUAAAAAUUAAAAAACAAUCAAUUAACAAAAUGAGAAACUUGAAAAAAAUAGAAACAAUAUUAAAAGUCCAAGGAAUAAAAAUUAAAAUAACUGAACCAAAAAACUCAUUAGAGAGCUGUCACAACAGACUUGAUCAAAAAGAGAAAAGAAUUAGUGAACUUAAAGAUGGAAUAUAUAAAAUUACCCAAUCAGAGAAGCAAAAAGAAAUAAAUAUUUAAAAAGAGUGAAGAAGGUCUAUAAGAAUUAUGGGAAACCAUCAAGUAAACUAAUCUCCGCAUAAUUGGAAUUUUUGGGGAAGAUGAGAGAGAAAUAGGCUUAUAAACACAUUUAAGAAAAUAAUUGCUGAAAAGUUUUUAAAUCAGGAGAAUUAUGACAGUAUCCAGGUUCAGGAAUCUCAGAAGUCACUAAUCAAAUUCAACAAAAAGUAGGAUUUCCCAAAGCACGUUAUAAUCAAUUUAGCAAAACUCAAAUACAUAGAAAAAAA
ensembl:lncRNA novel transcript